UUACCAUGCACGAAAGUGUGAUAAGGUUACCCGGAGUGCUAGAAGUAUAACUUUUAGCUGUUAUAGAGUGUAGAUAACUCUAUGAGAAAGGAGAGGGCAAGGCUGGUGCCAGCCGCCGCGGUAAAACCAGCUCUUCAAGUGAUCGGGACUAUUAUUGGGCUUAAAGUGUCCGUAGCCGGUUUGGUAAGUCCCUGGUUAAAGCUGGAAGCUUAACUUUCAGUUCGCUAGGGAAACUACCUUACUAGAGGGCGGGAAAGGUGUGAGGUACUCCAGGGGUAGCGGUGAAAUGCGAUAAUCCUUGGGGGACCACCAGUGGCGAAGGCGUCAGACUGGAACGCGCCUGACGGUGAGGGACGAAAGCCAGGGGAGCGAACGGG
rnacentral:rRNA from 1 species